UUGAGAAAAAAAGUAUAUAUAUCCAUCCAUCUAUUUUCCGAUCCGCUUAAUCCUCACAAGGGUUGCUGUGGGUGGGGGUGGGGGGUGCUGGAGCCUAUCCCAGCUGUCUUCGGGCAGUAGGUUGGGUUGCCAACCAAUCGCAGGGCACACAGAGACGAACAACCAUCCGCACUCACACUCGCACCGAGGGACAAUUUCGAGUGUUCACUCAGCCUGCCAUGCACACUUUUGGGGGCGGGAGGGGGGGGGGGUUAAAUCCCCUUACCUGGCAUGUGCCACGUCCUCAAAAAUGAGUCACGAUCCUAUAGCACCAUGGCACCAAAUUCACAUAUGAUCGUUUUGCUCGCCUUUUACCUUUCACGGGUCACAGACUUAUUUUGACCAGUAUAUUUGCAUGAAACAGUGAAACAAAUUGGAUUUUGACGGAAGGUAACCUUUAGCAAUAUUUGCUUUGGACAUUGUACUGUAUUCUUUGAAAUAUGUUCCCGUGCUACAAUGCUUUGAAUUGUGUCAAACUUUGUAUGUCAUGCUGUAUUCAACCAAAUGAUGGUGUAUAUUUGUUGCAGGAAACCAGCUGGCACUUUUAAUUCUCCACAGAAAAGUCAGGAUGGAAAGUGUGCAGGUUUAUGUGUGCAGACCUAUUGCUCCACUAGAGACAAGAUGACAGAUGACUUUAAGCCGGCACUUUAAACUUUGGCAGCCUCUCGGUGUCAAAUGGGAGGACUACCUUUGUCUUUCCUCCAAUGGAUCUAAUGGCCUGCUUGGAACGCAGAUGGAUUCUCGAUGAGUGAUUUGGGGACGAGUUUUCCUUGUGUGGCUCUUGUUCCACUCUCUUCCCGCAUCAGAUGAAGCACAAAGGUCAGGGGGUCGCACAACAAGGACCAUGUGGUACAUUCAGGCAAAGCUUUGAAAGGGUAGACGUGACACACUGGGCGAAAGACAGCGGGUGAUCUUGCUGCACGACAGAGCAGUGAAAAAAAAAACGUGGUGUCAAAAUUCUGUGAUAAAAGCUGUGCGUGUGUGGCAAAGUCAUGUGAAAUAAAUAAUGCAUAAGUAUGCCACAUGACCACAAAAUGAAUCCAAGAACUUAUCAAUAGGCAGUUAAACUCAAGUUGUCCAAAAUGUUAUGGAUGUAUUCAAAAAUAUUCCACAUGCUGAAAAUUGGCCCAACACCUGACAGAGUAAGUUAUUGUAUUCCAGAAAGGGGAAUCCUGGCAAUUGAUUGGUUCAGUGUGGUUUGUCCUUAUUAGGUUGUGGGUAAGUGGAGCCUGACCCAGCUGAAAGUACACCCUGGAAUGGUCGCCAUUCAGUCGCAGGGAAUCCAAAGAGCUUUUAAUAUGAUCACAAAAUCUCCAUGAUAUCUUAAUAAACACAAAUAGUGUCAAGACUAGCCUACUAAAACAGAUUACAACGUGGCAGGAGCCCUGGGCACCCACAUGUGGGGGCAUCCACCGACCCCUAACCAUUCCAACCAACUAUCAUUGAUGAAGGGGCAUAAAAUGAUGGGAUGGUGGUAUGAAUUUCUAUGAUUGAGUAAUUAUGAACGCAACCAUAUCCCUACUCCACCAAGGGUGUGCACUGUUGUGCAACCACAU